UAUUGACUUUGCAAGUGCAUAUUGUUCGGAUAUUGAUUCUGUUAAUCUCAUGGGGUUUAUGUCAAACAUAUUUCAAGUGCCACGCUAAUUUGUCUUUGACAUACUUUAUUUAUAUCCUAUCUUCCCCUGUGCGGUGCGUCUUAUUUACCAAAUGACAAAAAUGCCAUAGAGUAUAUCCUAAAUCCCAGAUGAUGAGGAAGUAAUGAAAUACUUCAAGCUUUACAUGCCACUUUCUGCUGUAUAAACAGCUAUCGCAAAAUUGCAACUUAAAAGCCAUUUAGCAGAAAAGCCAUUUUGCAGAAAAAUCUCAAUUGAAUGUGGGAACUGUCCUCUUUUUAUCAGUUAGAAUGUGUGAACCGUCUUGAAAUGUAAAAAUUGGAAUAACAGCUUUAAUACCUCUGCAAGGAUAAGGUUGAUUUGAUUGUCAUAUGCUGUGAGGAGAUUCAAGGCAUCUGAGCAUGAUGGAAAAUCCAUGAUAAGGUCGUCUUCUUUUUCGUUGACUAAACUAAUGUUGCAUUCUUCAAAGCGCUGUUGAAGAACUUGACAUCCGUGUAGCAGCUUCUGCCAAGAUGUCCUUGCUUGUUCAUUAGAUUGACUAAAUUAAUGUUGCAUUCCUCAAAGCGCUGUUGAAGAACUUGACAUUCAUGUAGCAGCUUCUGCCAAGAUGUCCUUGCUUGUUCAUUAGCUUGCCUCUCUUGUUCAUAAAGUCUCU
rnacentral:lncRNA from 1 species